rnacentral:lncRNA from 1 species
GAGAAGAAGAAAGACAAAAGAAGAAGAAAAAAGAAGUAGAAGAUGCAAGAACAAUUUUAAAGGCUUCUGUGACCUUUUCCAUUCUGUCAGGAUCUUUCAUUAGCAUGCUGCUGCAUCUUUGCCCCUGAUCCAGCAGUACAAUUCCAAAGGAGAAGCCAACAAAGCUGUCUGGAAAGUAGAUAGGUCUGCAGACUUUGAGGCAUUCUGAGUCCAGCUGACCUUAGGUUCUCUGCCCCUGUCCCAUCCUUGCCACUGUAGUCUGGGAUUACCCAGCCAACCUUUAAUCUUGGGCCUCUGAUGUGGACAGAGAUAAGGAAACUCAGUCCUGAAGAUCACUUGCCAGCAGCUGCCUAACAAUAUGGGUUUCAGCAUCUAGAAGACAGCCUGAGGAGGGGAGCCACGUUCAGAUUCAGCAAGUUCAUCAGGAUCCUGGAAAACAAAUGCCAAGCUUGAUGAACCCUGUGAGCCUCAGGGCAGACCUUCUUCAGGAGUUGGGCCACCUGGGAACUGUUCUGAAAAUCCAGAGAUGCGAGGUUUUUUUCAGAGUUGUGAAUUCUUGAUCCUCUCACCUUGGCACCUGAACAUCCCCACAGCCUGAAAAGGGUGAACAAUAGGCUCAGCCCAACAAGAGCCUCCACAGCACCUACUACUGACUACCUGCUUCCCUAUAGGGUCCCUGCAGGUCCCAAGCCAGCACAGCACAGAGAACAAGAGUCUAAAGAGGUCUUUACACAAUUGUUUGACUUGUUCUCAGCAUCUAGUGUAUUAGGCAUGAGGAUUGUAUGUGGAAAACUGUCUGCUGCUUGGAAUCAGAUCCCUGAUAGACUGAUUGCUUAGGAAGCAGCCCCCCAAAAGUGCCUGGAAUAUACUGGAUAUCAGUAAAUGCCUGUUGGAUGAUAAGUGUUCAUGAUUGUAUAUAAUCAUCGGUUAUACCGAAGGUCCCUAAACAGCUCUUUCUUUUAUGCUCACAUACACUCUGCCAACCCCUGCAAUGCAUUAAUUUAGACAUAAAGUGGCACUGAGGAAGAUAUCACUGCAUACAUUCCUUCAUGGCCAAUGGCUCCUGCCCCUGAAUCAGUUGGCUUUUGUUUGUGCAGAUGCCUUUUCCUGGUGGUAGAAAUGCUUUUCCCCCACUAGGCAGGGGCAUGGCUUGAUGAAGUGCAACUGGAUCAUCUGUUUUCAAGUAGUGUGUCUGGAUUGUGGAGUCUAUUUCUGAAGAUAGGUGGACACACAAAAUGACCAAAAAUGAACUCACCAAGUCAGCUUGGCCUGUGUGAUGAGUAUGGCAAAUGUUUCACUGGCUAUCAUGCCACCAGGGUCACUGCCAUCUGGAAACAGUGGAGAACAAAGGAUAUUUCAGAUCUGUAUAGGGGCACUGUUACAGAAGUUUUGUUUCAAGCUUUGUUUGGGCAGGUAGUUCUGAAUGGCCUAAGAGAACAGAUUGAUCAAGGCAUGGGAAACAAGCCCUGAGUUCUGAAGAUGAUGGACUACAACCUAUAGGAUGAAAUGAACCCUUUCCCCCCUAAGCUGAUUUUGGUCAAAAAUCCUAAUUGAUGUGUACCCACAUGUCAGCUCUUGACCUGUAGCCUAAGAAAUGGCAAAAAUUUCAUUGUCUAUUUCUUUCUCACUCACAUCAGCUUAAAUACCAAAGCUAUGAUAUCUUCCUUUAGAAAUCAUUUCUAUAUCUGCUACAUCUGCAUCAUGCUUGCCUAUGUGCACUUUAGGGACAAGGCCCUCUCAAGUUUUCUUUGGUUUUGUGUCCACAUGUUCCUCAGCUUUUCUGAGUCUUUCUUUGUCUCCUGGUUUUCUGAGGAUGAUCUUUCCAGAUUGCUGGACACCUAAGCAGGGGGCAUCUGAUCUGAGAUACAUUCACUGGCAUCUGUUGUUUUAUUGACCUAUAAAUAUUUUCCACUGGGCUUGGCAGCGUGAUCCCUUGGGGUCUCCUUUUCACUUACCCUUCCCAGAAAAUGUCUGUUUUUUGUUCCCACCAAUCAAAACCCUGUGACCUUGUGAUCCUAAGUUAUAGAGCUUUUCUUUACCUUCUUCCUACACUACUCAUGUUAGCACAGUCUAGAAGCCAAUCUCCAGGUUCCAAUGUCAUAUGAUAACAUGGGUGUUUCUUUAUAAAGUUGAUUUCAUUUCAGGAGCAGAUGACUAUUGAUUUGUGCAUCACUGGCAAAGUUGCCUGGUUAUAUAUUCUGCUACUCUGGCCUCUAGCAUCACUAAAUUAAUUGAGUCCUACUGCUGCGGACUGGCCUCAGUCAGUCUCCCUCAAUCCGCAAAAGAAAUUUUGGGGUUCCAGUUACAGACAAGCAAGGAGUCAGCAUGGAGGGUGACAAAAAGACAUGGACACAGAGAGAGUGUGUAUCUGAAUGUAAUUUGUCUCAAAGAGCACCAGUGACUUACACAAAACAGAGGAAUUCAUUCAAAAAGCUAGCAGGAACCAAUUGGGAUAAAAAUCAAUGUUAACAACUGGGAUCAAAAGCAGCCCCACCCAAGGUCAGCUUAAUCUUGAAGCCAGGGGCAGGGGCUUCACGCCCUUGCCAUAGUUCCAAUUCUAGUCUAUUGUAUAGUCCACUUUCCCCCUAGGCCAUUGUAAAUUCCUGUGUAUGGGUAUAACUCAGCUUUCUAUAAUCCUAAGUAUUUACUCUAGUUCCUUCUUAGACCACAACCUUCCUUCUUCCUAGGUCAUUGUAAAUUCUUGCAUAUGGGAAUAAAUCAG